rnacentral:rRNA from 1 species
CCUACGGGAGGCAGCAGUGGGGAAUAUUGGACAAUGGGGGGAACCCUGAUCCAGCCAUGCCGCGUGUGUGAAGAAGGCCCUCGGGUUGUAAAGCACUUUCAGUGAGGAAGAACGCCUGGUGGUUAAUACCCAUCAGGAAAGACAUCACUCACAGAAGAAGCACCGGCUAACUCCGUGCCAGCAGCCGCGGUAAUACGGAGGGUGCGAGCGUUAAUCGGAAUUACUGGGCGUAAAGCGCGCGUAGGUGGCUUGAUAAGCCGGUUGUGAAAGCCCCGGGCUCAACCUGGGAACGGCAUCCGGAACUGUCAAGCUAGAGGGCAGGAGAGGAAGGUAGAAUUCCCGGUGUAGCGGUGAAAUGCGUAGAGAUCGGGAGGAAUACCAGUGGCGAAGGCGGCCUUCUGGACUGACACUGACACUGAGGUGCGAAAGCGUGGGUAGCAAACAGGAUUAGAUACCCCGAUAGUC